CUACGGGCUGCUGCAGUGAGGAAUAUUGCACAAUGGGGGGAACCCUGAUGCAGCAACGCCGCGUGGAGGAUGACGCAUUUCGGUGUGUAAACUCCUUUUAUAUGUCAAGAAAAUGACGGUAGCAUAUGAAUAAGCACCGGCUAACUCCGUGCCAGCAGCCGCGGUGAUACGGAGGGUGCAAGCGUUACUCGGAAUCACUGGGCGUAAAGGACGCGUAGGCGGGUUGGAAAGUCAGGUGUGAAAUCCUACAGCUUAACUGUUGAACUGCACUUGAAACUUCUAAUCUAGAGUAUGGGAGGGGGAGAUGGAAUUAGUGGUGUAGGGGUAAAAUCCGUAGAUAUCACUAGGAAUACCUAAAGCGAAGGCGAUCUCCUGGAACAUUACUGACGCUAAGGCGUGAAAGCGUGGGGAGCAAACAGGAUUAGAUACCCCCGUAGUC
rnacentral:rRNA from 1 species